rnacentral:tRNA from 1 species
UCCUUGGUGGCUCAGAGGGUAAAGCGUCUGCCUGCAAUGCAGGAGACCUGAGUUCGAUCCCUGGGUCAGGAA